rnacentral:tRNA from 1 species
GGAGAGGUCGCAUAGUGGUCUAGUGCGCUCGCCUGGAAAGCGGGUGUCCCGCAAGGGGCCGCGAGUUCGAAUCUCGCCCUCUCCGCCA